GAUGAACGCUGGCGGCGUGCUUAACACAUGCAAGUCGAACGGAAAGGCUCCUGCUUGCAGGGGUACUCGAGUGGCGAACGGGUGAGUAACACGUGGGUGAUCUGCCCUGCACUUCGGGAUAAGCCUGGGAAACUGGGUCUAAUACCGGAUAGGACGAUGGUUUGGAUGCCAUUGUGGAAAGUUUUUCGGUGUGGGAUGAGCUCGCGGCCUAUCAGCUUGUUGGUGGGGGUAAUGGCCUACCAAGGCGUCGACGGGUAGCCGGCCUGAGAGGGUGUACGGCCACAUUGGGACUGAGAUACGGCCCAGACUCCUACGGGAGGCAGCAGUGGGGAAUAUUGCACAAUGGGCGCAAGCCUGAUGCAGCGACGCCGCGUGGGGGAUGACGGCCUUCGGGUUGUAAACUCCUUUCGCUAGGGACGAAGCGCAAGUGACGGUACCUGGAGAAGAAGCACCGGCUAACUACGUG
rnacentral:rRNA from 1 species